rnacentral:rRNA from 1 species
UACGUAGGGUGCAAGCGUUAUCCGGAAUUAUUGGGCGUAAAGAGCUCGUAGGCGGUUUGUCGCGUCUGCUGUGAAAACUGGAGGCUCAACCUCCAGCCUGCAGUGGGUACGGGCAGACUAGAGUGCGGUAGGGGAGAUUGGAAUUCCUGGUGUAGCGGUGGAAUGCGCAGAUAUCAGGAGGAACACCGAUGGCGAAGGCAGAUCUCUGGGCCGUAACUGACGCUGGGGAGCGAAAGCAUGGGGAGCGAACAGG